GCUGGCGGCACGCCUAACACAUGCAAGUCGAACGCAGUAGCAAUACUGAGUGGCGAACGGGUGAGUAUAAUGUGGGUAUCUGCCUUUUGGUUUGGAAUAACACGAGGAAACUUGUGCUAAUACCGGAUAAGCCCUUACGGGGAAAGUUUUAACGCCAAAAGAUGAGCCCGCACUUGAUUAGCUAGUUGGUAAGGUAAUGGCUUACCAAGGCUACGAUCAAUAGCUGAUCUGAGAGGAUGAUCAGCCACAUUGGGACUGAGACACGGCCCAGACUCCUACGGGAGGCAGCAGUGGGGAAUCUUGCACAAUGGGGGAAACCCUGAUGCAGCGAUGCCGCGUGAGUGAAGAAGGCCUUUGGGUUGUAAAGCUCUUUCGUCGGGGAAGAAAAUGACUGUACCCGAAUAAGAAGGUCCGGCUAACUUCGUGCCAGCAGCCGCGGUAAUACGAAGGGACCUAGCGUAGUUCGGAAUUACUGGGCUUAAAGAGCUCGUAGGUGGUUAGAAAAGUUGGUGGUGAAAUCCCAAGGCUUAACCUUGGAACUGCCACCAAAACUUUUUGACUAGAGUGUGAUAGAGGAAAGUGGAAUUUCUAGUGUAGAGGUGAAAUUCGUAGAUAUUAGAAAGAACACCAAUUGCGAAGGCAACUUUCUGGAUCAUUACUGACACUGAGGAGCGAAAGCAUGGGUAGCGAAGAGGAUUAGAUACCCUCGUAGUCCAUGCUGUAAACGAUGUGUGCUAGACGUUGGAAAUUUAGUUUUCAGUGUCGCAGCAAAAGCGUUAAGCACACCGCCUGGGGAGUACGACCGCUAGCUAAUGAUAG
rnacentral:rRNA from 1 species